AGGACCUUGCACUUUUGGAGCGGCCGAUGUCUGAUUAGCUAGUUGGUGGGGUAAUGGCCUACCAAAGCUUCGAUCAGUAGCUGGUCUGAGAGGACGGCCAGCCACACUGGGACUGAGACACGGCCCAGACUCCUACGGGAGGCAGCAGUGGGGAAUUUUGGACAAUGGGCGCAAGCCUGAUCCAGCCAUGCCGCGUGAGUGAAGAAGGCCUUCGGGUUGUAAAGCUCUUUCAGUCGGGAAGAAAAGGUUGCGACUAAUAAUCGCAAUUCAUGACGGUACCGGAAGAAGAAGCACCGGCUAACUACGUGCCAGCAGCCGCGGUAAUACGUAGGGUGCGAGCGUUAAUCGGAAUUACUGGGCGUAAAGGGUGCGCAGGCGGUUUUGUAAGUCAGAUGUGAAAUCCCCGGGCUUAACCUGGGAACU
rnacentral:rRNA from 1 species